rnacentral:rRNA from 1 species
GAUGAACGCUGGCGGCGUGCCUAAUACAUGCAAGUCGAGCGAACAGACGAGGAGCUUGCUCCUCUGACGUGAGCGGCGGACGGGUGAGUAACAUGUGGAUAAUCUACCUAUAAGACUGGGAUAAUUUCGGGAAACCGGAGCUAAUAGCGGAUAAUAUAUUGAACCGCAUGGUUCAAUAGUGAAAGACGGUUUUGCUGUCACUUAUAGAUGGAUCCGCGCCGCAUUAGCUAGUUGGUAAUGUAACGGCUUAACAAGGCAACGAUGCGUAGACGACCUGAGAGAGGGAUCGGCCACACUGGAACUGAGACACGGUCAAGACUCCUGCGGGAGGGAGCAGUAGGGAAUCUUCCGCAACGGGCGAAAGCCUGACGGAGCAGCGCCGAGUGAGUGAUGAAGGUCUUCCGAUCGUAAAACUCUGUUAUUAGGGAAGAACAAAUGUGUAAGUAACUAUGCACGUCUUGACGGUAACUAAUCAGAAAGCCACGGCUAACUACGUG